rnacentral:rRNA from 1 species
UACGUAGGAGGCGAGCGUUGUCCGGAAUUACUGGGCGUAAAGCGCGCGUAGGCGGCGCGACGCGACCGGUGUGAAAGCCCCCGGCUCAACUGGGGAGGGUCAUCGGUAACGGUCGUGCUGUGAGUGCAGGAGAGGGAUGUGGAACUCCGGGAGUAGCGGUGGAAUGCGCAGAUAUCAGGAAGAACACCCGUGGCGAAGGCGGCUCUCUGGAACGCAACUGACGCUGAGGCGCGAAAGCGUGGGGAGCGAACGGG